GCGAGAUUCAGUGAACUGCGAACAGAAGGGAGCGCGAGUGCAUUGAAAUAUUACGCGAAGGGGCUUGCAUCACCAGUGCAGACCACCAUCAGAAGCUGAAAGCACGCCUGGCCUCUGCAAUUUACCUGACUGAAUUUGGUCUCUGCGGCAGUCACAUGACCGAAAACCAUGAAUAGUCAUGUUGGAGCAACAGUUUGAAGAGAAUUUCGAUAUUUGAAGGAAACUAUCAAACUGAAGUUUGCAAAAUGGCACGGCAACAUCAGGACUGAACACUUGAAAUGCAUUGGAAAUGAAAGGAAGAAAAGGAUACAAAAUAGGUUUUCGGAGGUGAAAAAAGUUGUUUUUUUUCUUUUAAAUGAGGUUUGGGAUGAUCAGCACGCUUCCAGGCACCAGGCUAAUUUACUGCAUAAUCUCUUGGUGAAGGAAAGCAAUCUCAAAACUCCAAAGUGUUUAGAAGCAGGGUUGCCAAGUUUUCACAACACAACCCGCCUAAUUGCUACUCAAAACUAGCCCAGUCGUGUUUCAUGGGGGGUUUCCUGGUAAAAAUUCAAGUUUUUAGCAGGGUUCUCCUGGUAAAAUUUGCAUUACAAGGGCUAAAUAUCAUGUUAUUUGGGGUGGCUUCAACCGGCAGAGAUGAAAAACAACCCACGGCAACAGUGAUAAAGUAGCUCAAUUCUGCUGGAAAACCGCGUACUUGGCAACACUGUUUAGAAGAGCUCUGCCCAAAACAGCAGAACAGCUUCACUGAAAUACAAAGUCUGAUAAAACUACCAUCACUGUACUGUGAAUCAAUGAUUUUCAGC